rnacentral:rRNA from 1 species
CUGCCCUUGGGAGGGGAACAACAGCUGGAAACGGCUGCUAAUACCCCAUAGGCUGAGGAGCAAAAGGAGGAAUCCGCCCAAGGAGGGGCUCGCGUCUGAUUAGUUAGUUGGUGAGGCAAUGGCUUACCAAGGCGACGAUCAGUAGCUGGUCCGAGAGGAUGAUCAGCCACACUGGGACUGAGACACGGCCCAGACUCCUACGGGAGGCAGCAGUGGGGAAUUUUCCGCAAUGGGCGAAAGCCUGACGGAGCAAUGCCGCGUGAAGGCAGAAGGCCCACGGGUCAUGAACUUCUUUUCUCGGAGAAGAAAAAAUGACGGUAUCUGAGGAAUAAGCAUCGGCUAACUCUGUGCCAGCAGCCGCGGUAAGACAGAAGGAUGCAAGCGUUAUCCGGAAUGAUUGGGCGUAAAGCGUCUGUA